UUUGGGUCGACUCAUGCUUUCCUUGGGUCGACCCAACUUACUGUUCAUCUGUGCCAUUUUUGCAGAAGUGUGCCAGAUGCUUUCUUGAUGUGCCAGGGUCGACCCAAUCAACCUUGGGGUCGACUCAAUCCACACUUUGCUGCGACUCAAGGUUAGAUUCAUCCAAGUAAAUAAUGAAAUGCAUCUUUAACUUGUUAUACAAAUAUACUGAGAGUAACAGACUUAUAAAUGAAGUAUCGAAUUAACUUAUAACAUACUCUCGAUUAUUGCUUGUUAAUCAUCAAAAUAACACUAUCAUCCUCAAUGCGACCUCCACAAAACGCUUUGGAGUAGUUGCUCAAUCCUUAUCAGUACUGUCUUUGGCAAUACAGUGUUUGCCAUGAGAUAGACGAGCAUGGAGCCCAACACUGAUCUAACCAGCAUCAAUCUGCCCAUAAUAGAGAGAGACGACACCCUCCAAACCUCCAACUUGCUUUGCUUUGAAUCUGCUAUACCAGACCAAAGCACUCGGCCAUCCGCAACCUCCUGCCUGUGAUGGGUACACCUAGGUAGCUCCAAGUCUCCUCUUGUUCUGGCAUCUCUAGUAUCCUCUAGAUCUUUUGUCUGACCUGUGCUUUAUGCUUGGGUUGAAGGAGAUGGUUGACUCUUGAAAGUUCACUCUCUGCCCUGAUGUUGCGCAGUAAUCCGCCAACAUGCCCUUGAGGACCUAUGCAUCCAUUGUCUGUGCCUUAGCCAAAAGAAGAUAAUCAUUAGCAAAAAGUAAAUGAAAAAUGGGUCGAGCAUCCGGCGCUAGAAUGUAAGCUUACAGCUUCUGUUUUGCACACACGACCCACAAUGCACGAGACAAAAUAUCAGAGUAAAUAAUAAACAAGUAUGGAGAUAACAAACAUCUCUGUCGAAGCCCCAUGGUGGACUUGAAAAAGGAUGACAGCAUGCCGUUGACCAAAUGAAAAAGCUUGAACCCCGAACGCACCCCAACACUUAAUGUAUCCAGAUCACGUGGAAACCAAAGCUCACCGGUGCUCUCCUUAAGAAGCUCCACCUAAUUCUAUCAUAAGCUCUCUUUAUGUCUAGCUUGGCUGCUAUCAAGCUUCACUGCUUUAGGGCCCGUUGAAGGUCCCAUAUUAUUUUCUGGGACAGCAUGUUGUUGUCCGAGAUAUUUCUACCACACACAAAAGCAACUUGCUCUUGGCAGAUGAUGGCGAGUAGCUGGGGCUUCAUCCUGCCCACCAUUAUCCUCGCCAUAAUUUUAUAUAGGGUUGCACGCAAGCUGAUGGGCCUAAAAUGGCUUGGCUCCACUGCUUCCUAGCACUUCGGUAUCAAUGUGACAAAGAUGGCCUUCCAAUUCUCGGGCAUCACUGCCCAACUUAAGAAGCACUAAACUGCCUCCACCUUUGCUGCCUUAAUGAUGCACCAAUAUCUCCAAAAGGAAAAGGGGAGAAACCCGUCUGGUCCGAGAACCUUAUUCUCUGCUAGAGCCUAGACUGCCAUCUGCACCUCCCUUUUUGACACUGGCCGAACCAAAGUCGCAUUCUCAGUGGCUCUGAUUCCAUUGUCCGCCCUCGGGAGCUGGCCAACAUCCUCAGAGCCCCUGUCCUCCGUCCAUCUGGAGCAAAAGAAGUCAAGUAAGACCUGUCUAACUGCAAGGUCCCCCUCCACCCGUUGGCCCAUCCUGUCUCAUAGAGAGCGGAUCAUGCUCCUCUACCUUCUGAUGACCGUCGUCCGAUGGAAAAAAUUGGUGUUCGAUCCUCUUGUCUGACCCACUAGAUCCUAGACUUCUGUCUCUAGAAGACUUUAUGCUGUCGUAGUAUUGAGUGAUGUGGAGGAAGUAGCUCCCGUAGGUCCACCAUGUCAGCCUCCGGGAGCUCACCUCCUGAUCUUCUCUUCAUUGAAGAUUAGCGAUCGCAGCCUCCACCUCUUCUAACCUUCUGAAGAUGUUGCUCAUGACCUCUCGAUUCCAUCGUUGGAGCCGUCUCUUGGUCAGCUCCAAUUUACGUGAAACCCUUUGCAUAGCAUCUCCUCGCACCGGUAUAUUCCAGGCCCCCCGAACAAUGUUCCAGAAUUGAGGAUAAGACAACCAGACCUUCUCAAAGCAGAAGGGGCAGUGGUGCCUGUCGAAAUCAACAGUGGGCAGUGGUCAGAAACGAUUCGAGAUAAAUGACUGACCUGAUAGGUGAAAAAUUGGAGGAUCCAAUCAAGGGACACUAUGGUCAUGUCUAUCCACUCCUAUACCCUGGUUCUGCCCAAUUGAUUGUUACACCAGGUAAACCGUGGCCCGAAAAAGCCUAGAUCUACUAGGCCGUUCUGCGACAAGAAGUCGCGAAACUCUCUUCUACCCACCGUAUCAGUAGAGACCCUUCCUCCCCUCUUUUUAGUAGCAUUCAAAUAUAAUUGAAGUCACCCACCACAGUUGUUGAAAAAUCCCGAGAGACCAAGUUAGUAAUCUCAUUCUAAAGGACUCUCUUGUUCCCAUAAUCCGUGCUCACAUACCACAUAAUACCCACAGAACUGCAUUAGGUUUUGUAACAACCAAAACAACCUGCUGAGGACAGUUCGGAAAGACGUCCAUUGUCGCAACCCCCUGCUUCCACAAUACUAAAAUACCUCCAGACAGUCCUUGGGAUUCCACUGCAUAGGACUCCCAGUCAGCCUCCAAGCAUCCCUGUACUCGGUGUAGCCCGUCACAAAGUCGCAGCUCCAAGAGCUGCUCCCACACCUACUCAUGGCAUACUCGAUUCAGCCGUGUCCAAAACCACCUUCGAGCCACCCUACGCCGCCUCCAAGAGGGUAGCGGGGCGGCCCUCUAUCUCCAGGACACCUGCCGCACAAGCCUCUCCAUCCAGCCUAGUCCUGCUCGGGGCGCACUCCUGGUGCACGCCCGUCGCUGCUACAGGGCACCAACUGUGGGCCCCCCGUCACAAGCUUUCGCUUUGCCUGUACCCAGCGCCGGGGGCGCAUCUGAUUGGGGACCCACCACCACCACCUGGGCUGGAGAAACGAACCAAAAGACCGCAUUCGAUCCCACUGUCGAGCCCUCUAGUGGGCCCCUCGCGCCAGGCGCACUAAGCAUGCCCAAUAGCUUGAACAAGUUCUGGCCCAAGGGCACUGAGACCACCGCAUGAAGCCCAACACCUUCAUCUUCCCUUGGAUCCGAACAUCCGGAAGGAGGGGCUCGAUGGCGUCGAUCGCCACCUUCACCCCGUCAACUGCAAGUGGCAGCCCCGCCUGGGCCGCAUUUUGGAGGAUGGUCAUGUCCAACCAGUACUCCGGUGGGAGCCAGGAUAGCCGAAGCGAGAACAUCACAGUCUUCGCGGCGUCCUCCCCAGCCACAAAGUCUGGCACCUAUGUCUCUAUGACGAGGAGCUGUCCCGCCACCACCCACGAGCCCUUAGAGAGCGUCCGGUCCCAGUCCGUUGUUGACCAGAAUCUUAAGGCGAGGUGGUCGUCGGCAAGCGGCACCGCCACCACCUCCCCUUCCAACUUUCCACAGGCGGCCACAUCUUUGGCCACCCAAUCGGCCGGUACCCAGCAGUCAAUGCUGCAGACAACCAUCAACAGCCGUUCCCACUCUCGGCGCGCGGCCUCGAUCUGCUCCUCGGGCAACUCCAAAAUUGUCAAGAAGCGGCUCAGCUGUUCCACUUCCGCUUCCGUGGGCCGGUGGGUCACCUAGGGCCCUGGCCUCGCCCGUGCCCCGGACCUCUUCACCUAUCCCGCUGCCCCCUCCAUCGUCUUCCCCGACGGUUGCUUCCCAUUCCAGCCUGCCUUCUGCUCCAUCCUGUUGAAGAGCCGCCGGAGCCCUUCGUCAAGCCAUUGACACCACGUUGUAGCCACGCCGGAAAUCCCUUCUGUUAGUCCCUUAGAAGACAACCUUUCCGACAAGGAAAGUCUUAAAGAUGGUCCCCUGCUUAACAAAAAGGGUUAGGAAAUGAUAAGUUUAUACGAUGAGAACCGGAGCUUCCACCCGAGCUUCCGCUGCGCACCCACCGGCGAAAGCCGGCCUUUAGUCGCACGGCUACGCCGGAGCGUCCCUUCCCACAAUCAGCCGUUGGAGCUCCCCUGCUUUCUCAGAGGACUUCACCGUGGCAGCCAUUGGAGCACGUGGAGCGCCCACCGGCGAGCCAAGCUUUCUGUUCUCGAUUCGCAGGUGGAGCCCUCAUGCCCUCUCGGAGAACCUGCCGUGGACGGCGACGAAAGCUGGUAGCCUUUGCCUUCUCGGAGCCGAGCACAUGAGCCGAGCACCCACGAGUCGAGUUUCUCUCCUCCGUUCGCAGGUAGCCUUUGCCUUCUCGGAGACCUUCGCCAUCGACAGCGACGACCCCGCCAAGCACCCGCCGUUGAGGACUAGCCGUUGGAGCAUAGGCUCAAAGCUUUCCCUCUCCUUGGAGCUUUCUUGCUCCUCAAAGCUUCUCUCUCUAACUAGCCGUUUCAACAAAAAGCGCUGGUUGGAUAUGGAAAGUGGAUGUACUUUUUUGUCUUCGUGUACUCCUUUUUGUGGUUCUUCCCCACUUUAAAUCAAAAGAAGAAGAAGAAGGAGCAGCAGCAGUAGCAGCUAUACAAUGCACAUAGGUAGACUUCUAUAAUAGAUGCAGUCUUUCGUUACCUACUGAUAUUUCCAUAUCAUGUUACAAAAUCCAGCAAACUAUAAUUAUGAGGGACAUUAGAAACCUUCUAAAAGGCGAUUUAUGAUAUCACGAGGAAACUCGAGACUUUGUUUGAUGACCUCGCCAACACCACCCACAUAUCCAUCUCCUUGGUGAACAAAUAGUACUUUUUUUGACACACUCUUCAUGCAUCAUGAGCCUUCUUACAUUAGACAAUCUUUAUGAAUUUCCUACACCAAACACUUGAUAGAUAGAUAAUAGAAUGCACACUCUAGUAGUUCAUAUAUCAACUUUUUUGUUAGAUGUUUUAUGUACUUUCACCUUAAUCCAUGAACUUGAUAGAUAAUAUAAUCACAAUCUAGUGGUUCAUAUAUCAGGUUUUGUCAGACGUUUUAUGUACUUUCAAUUGAAUUAGAAAUUAAAAAUACCUUAAGAAGCCAAAGCAGAUGAAAAUUGCUCCGAAUUCGGCCUGGCUCGUGUAAGGAGAGUUGCUUUGCAGAACAAGAGAAGAAAAGGAACAGUAUAGUGAUAUAAGAACUCUCUAUUUAGAUGUAAACACCGCGCAUGAUACGUCUCUCAGGUCACCCCGUUCGACGAGCAUGCUCAUGAUUCCCCAAUGAUAAGGAUGUUGGAAAAUCUUUUAAAUAUUGAAAAUCUCUUAAUUUAAUAUUACUAUUUUGUGUUGAUUAUUUAAUAAAUGGUUGUAUAUAUACACAAAGGCAUUUCCUAAUUCGAGGCACAAAGGCAUUUCCUUUAUAGUAGAACUCUACUUCUAAAAUAUAAUUGCUAUAUGUUUUCGUUAAAGUGCACUCCAAUGUACGAGAAUCAAGGUCAAAAUUGAACCAGCCACGGUGAAAGUUAGUAAAAUAGAUUGAAGAAAAUCUCUCCUAAUCCUCCAUUCUUCAAUGCUCAAAAGGUGCACUUGAAUCCACUCACCUAAUGCUCAAUUUACUUUUUCAAUUCCUAACUUAUGAUGCUGCGUGAAAAAUAAUUAGAAGCACGUGAUUUUUAGAGAGAGGAGAGAGAAAUAGAAUCUUAUCCGCUCAAAAGACCAAUUUAUUCGGAAAUCCAAGAUAAGGAUUUAUAUUUUAAAUAUAUUUUGUAUAGUUUUAUAUCCAACACGAGACUAUUCAUAAAAUAUCAAAAUUUUGAAUUAUUUAAUCAAUAAACCAACAAUGGAGAUUGAGGUGACACAUUGAGAACAUGUGCAGUGAAAAUGCUAGGUUUGGGAGGGCCAGCAGCCAUUUUCAUGUUUCGAAAUCCAGAUCAAAAUGAAGUAUCUUUACUGUUGUGCUAAGGUGAACCUCUACUUCAUGAACCUUAAAAUGAAGUAUCUUCACUGUUAUUCUUCUACUUCAUGAACCUUUUUGCAACUCCAAACAUGAGUGCCUUAAAUUAAGAGACUACUUAUGUUGUCUGGCACACUGGAGAGGUCUACUAGACUAGCCUAGACUGCAUUCCACACUCUUUGUAUUGUUUACUCUCUUUUGACGUGGUAGGCUGUACUCACGUUAGAGGUAUAUGAAAUUGUUGCUGGAAAUUGGACCCGGAGGCGGCCGUUGGCUGAGAAGGAGGAGCUCCGGCGUGAGAUGGCGGGUGGCGGUCCGUCGGCGGGCGGCGUCCUCCGGAGGACCUGUAAAAAGCCGGUGGCUGGGGUUUCCAGCGCCGGCCCUCCGAUACUUAAGUCAGAGGGGGGCUUAAUUUUGGAGAAGGAGAGGGACUGUAUGUAGAAGUCCGAGCCUCCCCUUUGGGAGGAAGAAGCCCUCUUUUUAUAGGAGGAGUGGCAGGGUUACCUGUGAUAUGACUGGGCAAAUUAAAGGGUUACCGUCACGAUUGGACGUGGGCGUGUGAAGUAAUGAGUUGCUGUGGAUGGCCCGUUCUCAUCAUGGGAGGAGAUGGUGCGCAACCAGAGCUUGCUUGUGGCGCGCAGUGCAGUCCAUUCUUGGGAAUGGUGAGGCGUUGACAAUCGUAACAGGGCAUGAUCCCUGGUUGAUAUAUCGUGGUGUGGCCGGCAAGUAAAGCAUGGUGCAGUGAGGAUGCUGCAGGGCAUGGCUGCAGCAUGUGAACGACGAGGUCGGCCUUCUGAGGUCAGCUCGGCCUUCUAUGCUUGGCCUUCUGAGCUCGGCUUGGACUGCAUGAGCUCGGCUCGAACUGCAUGAGCUCGGCUCGAACUGCAUGAGCUCGGUCUGCACGAGCUCGGCCUUCUGAGCUCGGCCUGCAUGAGCUCGGCCUUCUGAGCUCGGCUCGGCCUGCAUGAGCUCGGCUCGACCUUCUGAGCUCGGCUUGCAUAAGCUUGGCUCGAUCUUCUGAGUUCGGCCCGGCCUGCAUGAGCUUGGCUCGGCCUUCUGAGCUCGGCUUGCAUGAGCUCGGCUCGGCCUGCAUGAGCUUGGCUCGGCUUUUUAAGCUCGGCUCGGCCUUCUGAGCUCGGCUUGCAUGAGCUCGGCUCGGUCUUCUGAGCUCGGCUCGGCCUGCAUGAGCUCGGCUCGCUGUCGGAUUUGGGUGCUUUAAUUGUAUUUGUGGGGUGGUCCAUUUUUCCCCCCAACACUAUCCCCGACUUCCAAGUUCGAGCUGCUUUUUGGCUCGGGCGAAGGAAGUAGUCCAGUCGUCGAUCAUCCUGUAAUAUAGCCAAAUAUUUAUGAAGAUGUAUGUGCCAAGUAGGAUGUACCUCUCAUGCAGUUGGAGCUAAGUGCUUCAAGUUGACUCAGCGGCCUUCUUUGGCUUGUGGUCGACUCAGCAGGGUGACCCAUCAGAUUGGGGCGUGUUGUCGUAGGAGGCGUCGAAUGGCGUUGAAGGACGUCGAACGGCGUUGACAUGGCGUCGGAUGUCGUCGAAGUGGCGUCGGAUGUCGUCGAAGUGGCGUCGGAUGUCAUCGAAUGGCGUCGAAUAUCGUCGAAGGUCGUCGAAUGGCGUCGAAUGUCGUCGAAGGUCGUCGAAUGUCAUCGAAUGUCAUUGAAUGGCGUCGAAUGUCGUCGAAGGUCGUCGAAGGGCGUCGAAUGGCAUCGAAUGUCGUCGAAGGGCGUUGAAUGUCGUCGAAUGGCGUCGAAUGUCGUCGAAUGGCGUCGAAUUGGAGUUUCGAGUUUGAUCGGAGCAUCAUUGGAGACACAUACAGGAGACGGACUUCGUCCGUUGGCGAUUGUGCGUCUUUAUUCGGAACGGGGUGACGUUGGAGAUAGGGAUACCCGUAGGUCAUUUUUUGGAUUCUUCGACCUGAAAAUAGGUAAAAUAUUGAAAUUAUUUAAAGCCAAAGUGGCAUCCUGUACCUUUUUGGAGACAUUUUAAUGGCUCUCGAGCUUCGAAGUCCCUCAGGAUUUGGCUCAGCACCGGCCUUCUGAGGUUGGCCUUUGGAGCUCGUUCUUCUGAGCUCGGUUUGUAUGAGCUCGACUCGGUCCUCUAAGCUCGGCUCGGCCUUCUGAGCUCGGCUUGCAUGUGCUCGGCUCGGUCUUCUGAGCUCGGCUCGGCAUGCAUGAGCUCGGCUCGGCCUUCUGAGCUCGGCUCGGCCUGCAUGAGCUUGGCUCGCAUGAGCUCGGCUCCGUCUUCUGAGCUCGGCUCGGCCUUCUGAGCUCGGCAUGCAUGAGCUUGGUCUUCUGGACCAUGAGAGGAUUUAACUUCAUAGUACUUUCUUGGGGUGGAAUCUCCUGUGAAUCUAGCCAGAGGAGCGCUCAUCCUUUGGAAGGCAUACAAAAUAAGGCAUCAGCCGAGCUUUCAUUAUGUAAUAAAAUCCUUUUUAAAGCCUUGCAAUGAUGAAGAAAAUAGCUACAGCAUCGUCAUAAAGAGGGCUCGACACUUUUUUGGUCUUCAUCAGAAAAGGAGAUAACUUUCGUAGUGCAUGGAUGCUUUGAGGAAGCUCCUUCUUCCGAGCUCGAUGCUUCAGGCGCCUCUACUCGCCCGCCCUCUGAUGAUAUUGUUGAUGCCCGCGCGAGGUCAGUUGUCGUCCUACUCCUCACGCGGCACUAGGUUUUGAUCCUCAGGCUCUCUCCUGUAGGCAUGAUCAUGGACAAAACAACUCAACCGACCUCGGCGGACAAGUGCCUUGAUCUCAUCACGGAGCUCGUAGCAAUCCUCCGUAUCAUGGCCGCGAUCUCGGUGGAAGUGGCAGUGCUUUUUUGAGUGCUUUCGCGACUCUGUCGGUCACAUCCUCAAUGGAGGUUGGAGGUAGCCCUGACCCUUAAUCUCCAUGAGGAUCUCUGCUCGGGUAGAUGUGAGGGGAGUGUAUGUCUGAAACUUUUGGAGGGGAGACCUUGAGUGAGUUAGGCUCUUGGGCCAAGGAGGCUCUUUCUCAUGCUAGGGGGAUCUACUGCUUGGUUGGGAGCGCUCCUCGUGGCGCAUCUUCUGCAUCUUGGCAGGUUGUUCGGCUGCCUCUCGCCGAGAGGCCAUGGCUUCCUCAGCCUUGGCGUACUUGCAAGUUCGGGCCAACAUUUCAACAAAGUCGGCGGGGAAGCUCUUCUCGAUGGAGAAGAGAAAUUUGUAGGACAGAGCUCCAGUGUUCAAAGUCGACAUGGCGAUUGACUGGUCAAGAUUGCGAACCUCUCAUGUGGCCGAGGUAAAACGACUAAUAUAGUCUUUUAAGGAUUCUCCCUCCUUCUGCUUGAUGGCGAAGAGGGAGUCUGAGGUCCGGCGCUGACGCCGGCUAGUGGCAAAAUGGGUGGCGAGCUGCCUGCCCAGCUGUUCAAAGGAGAGAAUCGAGCUGGGCUUUAGUCCGAAGAACCAAAGACGAGCUGCUUUGCGGAGAGUCGCUGGGAAGGCUUUGCAGAGUAGAGCGUCUGUGGCUCCUUGGAGUGUCAUAAGGGCCUUGUAGCUCUCCAAAUGAUCCAGAGGAUCGGAUGAGCCAUCAUAUGACUUAAUCUGUGGCAUCUUGAACCUCUGGGGGAUUGAUUCAUCUAUGAUCCAUUGGGAGAAUGGAGACUAUGUUGUAAAGUCAAGGUCGGCGUCUCGCUUUGGGCCUUGGUCUUGAAGCAUCUGUAUCUGCCGCUCCAAGUCCUCGACUUUUCUGCCGAGCUCGGGUGGGACUCCUGUUGCAGCUUGGCAUGGGGCAGACCCCGCCUCAUAUGGAUGCUCCCGUACUCGAGGCGUCAGGCUUCGGCGCGAGCUCUUAGAAUAAUGGAUGCGUGACAAGCCCUACCGGCUUGGGGGUCGAGCUCGGUGGGAGCUUCGGUGGUGGCGACGCUCCAUAGAGAAAUGACAUCGCGAGUGGCAUCCUGAGGACUCAUGCUCGUGAGGAGGUAGUAGAGGUUGGUCUUCUACUUGCUGCAGGCCUUGAACGGCCGCAGUGAGUGCUUGGACUUGUUGAACAAGCAGGUUGAACUGCUUUGGUUGAACUUGGGGGACUAGAUCCGCCGGAGGCCUUGGUGAUGGGUUCUGGAUUAAGUGUCCAGAACUUGGUACGCGAUGCCAGGAGGCGUUAGAGGCUCUCUUACUCCUUAGCUUCAUGGCCACGACUCGGUCCCUUCCUCUAGCGCCAACUAUUGCUGGAAAUUGGACCCGGGGGCGGCCGUUGGCUGAGAAGUAGGAGCUCCGGCGUGAGAUGGCGGGUGGCGGUCCGUCGGCGGGCGACAUCCUCCAGAGGACCUGCAAAAAGCCGGAGGGCGGGGUUUCCGGCGCCGGCCCUCCGAUGCUUAAAUCAGAGGGGGGCUUAAUUUUGGAGAAGGAGAGGGACUGUAUGUAGAAGUCCGAAGUCUCCCCUUUGGGAGGAAGAAGCCCUCCUUUUAUAGGAGUGGCAGGGUUACCUGUGAUGUGACUGGGCGAAUUAAAGGGUUACUGUCAUGAUUGGACGUGGGCGUGUGAAGUAAUGAGUUGCUGUGGAUGGCCCGUUCUCAUCAUGGGAGGAGAUGGCGCGCAGUCAGAGCUUGCUUGUGACGUGCAGUGCAGUCCAUUCUUGGGAAUGGUGAGGCGUUGAUAGUCGUAGCAGGGUAUGAUCCCUGGUUGAUAUGUCGUGGCGUGGCCGGCAAAUAAAGCAUGGUGCAGUGAGGAUGCUGCAGGGCAUGGCUGCAGCAUGUGAACGACAAGGUCGGCCUUCUGAGGUCAGCUCGGCCUUCUGUGCUUGGCCUUCUGUGCUCGGCCUGCAUGAGCUCGGCUCGGACUGCAUGAGCUCAGUCUGCACGAGCUCGGCCUUCUGAGCUCAGCUCGGUUUUCUGAGCUCGGCUUGCUGUCGGAUUUGGGUGCUUUAAUUGUAUUUGCAGGGUAGUCCAUUUUUCCCCCCAACAGAAAUAAAAUACCAUUUUGACCAAAAAAAAAAAAAGUAGCAAGCAAGGGCUAAACCUCCACCAAGCACAAGAAACUUGGGUACAUUCCGGCCCCAAGGUUUCUCCUCUGUUUCAGUGAUAUAACCUCUCCCUGAUUCAACUGCUUUCAUGUUCAAAUAGAAUGCGGAGAAAACUGACAAACUUGCAAGCUAAAAGGUCAUGGCUGGUGGAUCUUGUAUUCAUUUCUUCGGACUUCAUGUUCAAUUUAGUCAUGUCAGUUGAUUCCACAGUAUCUAGAGUCAUUUACAAGACAAGUCUGUUGUACCUGAGGAUUAUUACCUCUAUUCUUAUGAAGCAGACACCUGCUCCCCGUUUUAAGCCACCUUUUCAAGUGGUUAGCCACAAAUGUACGCUGUUACUUGCUACCAGUUCUCAUGAAAUGAAAUGAUAAUGUAGUAUGUCGGCUUCAGAAAGUCAAGGUAAGUUCUCCAAGUUACAUUUGUGUUAGGGUCGCAUCGAUCUAAGCCAAUUGCCCGUAAGAUUAACUUAAUGUUUACAUUUUAAGCAAGAAAAAUUUACUACCUAAUAUUUAUUUUUUUAGUAAACUGAAACUCAUUAGACCAAUCUAGAGUAAAUACACCCAUAAAAAUCAGAAAAAAAAUUGUCAAACAAUUAAGAAGAAAAAAUAGUUACAAACAUCUAUAGUAUUGAUCCUGUAUCAGCAGUAAUAUAUAAUGCCAUCCAAUCUGCAGCACGCCACUUGGUGGUGUGGGAGGUGAUAUGCCAGCCGGUCGGGUUAGGUAGCUUGGGGGUGUACUCAUUAGCGGCGAGGCAAGAGGUUUCGGUAGCGAGACAUGCAAUUAGGUACAUCCUGGAGACAGACAGCAUGUGGUGUGCCUUUCUUAGGGGCAAGUACGGAGUGUGCUUGGCGGUGGUUGACUUUCGAGUUGGGCGCCAUAGCUCCUUCAUCUGGAAGGAGAUCUGCACCCAUGCUCCGACGGUGCUCCCUGCGAUCAGGUGGGCUAUUGACCAUGGGCAGUCCAUUGAUGUUCUGGAGGAUGCCUGGGUGGUCGACCGGCCGUUAGGGCAAAUGCCGACGAUGGUAGAUUUGGUGAGACUGACGGGGUGCAGAGUCAGCAAUCUGAUUACUCCAGGUGCGGGCAAAUGGAACGAGGCACUGAUCCGGGAUGCUUUUGGGGAGCAAUUAGCUAAGAGGAUUUUGGCUCUUCCGAUUCCUACUGAGGAGACGAUGGAGAGAUUGUUGUGGACUCCGAUAAGGAGAGCGAGGGUGCGUGUUAGGAAUCUACAGGCACUGAUGGGGAGGGAGACCACCCGGCAGAUUGAGGGUGGGUAGAUUUGGAGGUUGCGCGUUUACCCCCAAGUGUUCUUAUUCAUUUGGAAGGUGGCUUGGGGUUGUCUACUGACCUAUAGUGAGCUGGCAAGAAGGGGCAUCAGGACCACUAUGAUGUGUGAGUAAUGCCCCGACAUAGAGAAGUUUAUUAGCCAUGUUCUUCUUAGUUGCCCUCAGACAGUGCAGGUUUGAAGAAGGGUGCCAUUUUCCUUGCCGCGGGGUGUGGGGUCGGCGGAGGAUCUACUACACCAUCUGAGGGAUUUUGUGGGGAGACCGGGGACUGUUGAGUGGGGUAUCACCUGUGUCUAUUUGGCGUAUCACAUAUGGUUGGACAGGAAUGCUCAUAUCUUUGAAGGUAGGAGGGCAUCCCUGAGGGCUGUGGUGGAUAGAGCCAUCUGUCAUGCGGCCGAGAUCAUCACCACUACUAGGGCAACUUUACCUGGGAGGGCUUGGAACAUCUAGAGUUCCCAUACCGUUGUCACAGUGCCCAGAGUUACUCUUGUCAUUUGGAAGCCCCCACCUCUGGUCACCUCAAGAUGAACUUCGAUGGUAGUGUCUUGGCCGAAGGAGACAGAGGAGGAACAGAUUUUGUGAUUCAGGAUCACAACUCCAAAUUGAUUGCUGUAGGUAAGCGGUGCACUUGUGACAUGACUGCUAUAAGAGCGGAGCUCAGGGCAGCAUAGGGGGGUAUCAUCUAUGCGAGGAGUAUCCUAAGGGCUGAUAACAUUUUCCUAGAAGGAGACUGUACCAUGAUGAUCGAGUGGAUUCGGAAUGUAGAGCGACAGGGUGAUGGCCACCCACUACUUAGGGAUAUUCAGAGGCUGGUGAGAGACUGCUACUUCUUUCAGGCUGCUCAUGUAUACCUGGAGGCGAAUAAGGCGAGACAUGCAGUUAGGUACAUCCUAGAGACAGACAAUAUGUGGUGUGCCUUUCUUAGGGGAAAGUAUGGAGUGUGCUUGGCGGUGGCUGACUUCCGAGUUGGGCGCCGUAGCUCCUUCAUCUGGAAAGAGAUUUGCACUCGUGCUCUGACGGUGCUCCCUGCAAUCAAGUGGGCUAUUGACCAUGGGCAAUCCAUUGAUGUUCUAGAGGAUGCCUGGGUGGCCGACCAGCUGUUAGGGUGGAUGCCGAUAAUGGUAGAUUUGGCGAGACUGACGAGGUGCAGAGACAGCAAUCUGAUUACUCCAGGUGCUGGCAGAUGGAACGAGACAAUGAUCCAGGAUGCUUUUGGGGAGCAAUUAGCUAAGAGGAUUCUGGCUCUUCCGAUUUCUACUGAGGAGACGAUGGAUAGAUUCAUGUGGACUCCGAUAAGGAGAGCGAGGGUGCGUGUUAGGGAUCUACAGGCACUGAUGGCGAGGGAGACCACCCAGCAGAUUGAGGGUUGGUAGAUAUGGAGGUUGCGCAUUUACCCCCAAGUGUUCUUAUUCAUUUGGAAGGUGACUUGGGGCUAUCUACCGUCCCAUAGUGAGCUGGCAAGAAGGGGCGUCAGGAUCACUCUGAUGUGUGAGGAGUGCUAAUGGGGACAUCAGAGCUGACCACCCUGCUGUUUAGUCCCCAAUUUUAUUUGCAUUUUAUUUUCUUUUAUUUCUGGGUUUGCUCGCAUAUUUAUUAUUGUUGGACUUUAUUUGUGUAAUUUGGGCUUAUUGGGAAUUAUUUUGUGUAAGGAGGUUUUAUUUUAAUUGUUCUUAUUGGGCCCUAUUUAUAGGAAACUUUUAUGUUGAUUAGGGUUGAUGAAAGUGAAUUAAGAAUUUCUUUCCCUACGUCUUUUCUCCUCUCUCUUUUCCCUCUCCUUCUCUUCCUUCUUUCCUUCUCCUUCUUUCCCCCUUCCUUUCUUUUUCCCCUCCUUUCUUCCUUCCCCUUUCUCCUAUUUUCACUGAUUUGUCGCCACAGCAGCCCUUUUCCAUCUCAGUUCUGCACCAACUUGGUAUCAGAGCAUUGGCGGGCUUUGCCUCUGUUGCCAAAGCCCUGAUCCGGUCUAUGCUGGGUUUAUCCCUGUCUUCCACGCUGGAGCAUCUAAACAGAGCCCCUUCCGAGUGCUCCGUUUCCUCUUCCUCCCUAAAAAAAAAAAAGAACAGCCCCUUCGUGGUUGGCCCUUCCCUGUCUCUGUGCCCACACCCACCGUCGUCUCCCUUCACGACGCCGCCGUGCCGCUGGUUCGCUGCCGGAGGUCAUCGCGCCCCACGGACACCCACCUGCCACGAGUUCCAUGGAUCUGCCACCGUCGGUCCCGUGACCGAUCGUCGGAGGAAGUCGCCGCCCGCCGGAAAUCCAUGGUCGACUACCCCGGCGCCACCGCCCACGGAACCGCAAUCGGGCCUCUGCCUCCGUCCCGCAACCACCGCCGUGAAGACCGCGACGUUAAACCAAGUCCGUUAGCGGUUGAAGACAGACUUCAUUAACGGCUAUUUCGCCGCAUCACUGCCUCCGCCGUUGCUUCCCCGACGCCGUCUACGCCGAGCCGCCGUUCGUCCACGGUGUUUCCACGCCGCCUGCGCCUCCCCACCGACGAACAUCGCCGCCGAGCAUCCCACUCGACCGCCUCCACCUAUGCCGCUCCGCCUUCGCCGCCUCCGCCCGUGCCGCCUCCUGCCGCCACCGAGAUCCGCCAUCGCUCGAACCCCAUCUUCUCCCUCCCCACUGAGCCGUGCCGCCUCGCCGUCCCCAUCCCCGCCACUCCCGCGACCGCCCGAUUGCCACCACCGCUGCCUCCUUCCCCACGCCCGCAUGCUCCACCACUGCGGCCGUGCGCCGUCGGCCGCUGCCUACUCCGGCCAGACCGCCUGCAGCGCCCGUUGCCGAGCCUUCGUCCAAGCCGGUCCCAUCCAGCUCUCAUCCGCGAUCAGGGACACCCCUGUUGCCCAAGGUGACAAGCCAAGAGGGGGGGUGAAUUGGUUUCUUUUAAAUUUAAACUAUCUUACUCAAGUCAAAUGGAUGGUUAGUAAGCUAAAGCAAAUCACAACACAAACAACACAAAGUAUAGUGGUUCGGUGCUCUCCUUAGCACCUACGUCCACUCCCCAAGCGACCCCUUGGGAAUUCACUAUAAUCUCACGGAUUACAGUUGGAUUGUUUUCCGGGCUCACAAUCCAAAAACCUUUGUUGGUUUUACGGGCUCACCAACGAACCUUUACACUUUGGUUUUCCGGGUUCAACAAAAAUCUUUGUUGGUUUUACGGGCUCACCAACGAACCUUUACAAUUGGUUUUCCGGGUUCACCAAUCAACCUACUCCGUUGGUUUUUCGGGCUCACCAACCAACCUUUAUAAGUUGUUUAACAAAUAAAGAAAGAAGAUUUAAACUCCUAAAUGAGCAAAUGAAAUAAUAUANNNNNNNNNNNNNNNNNNNNNNNNNNNNNNNNNNNNNNNNNNNNNNNNNNNNNNNNNNNNNNNNNNNNNNNNNNNNNNNNNNNNNNNNNNNNNNNNNNNNNNNNNNNNNNNNNNNNNNNNNNNNNNNNNNNNNNNNNNNNNNNNNNNNNNNNNNNNNNNNNNNNNNNNNNNNNNNNNNNNNNNNNNNNNNNNNNNNNNNNNNNNNNNNNNNNNNNNNNNNNNNNNNNNNNNNNNNNNNNNNNNNNNNNNNNNNNNNNNNNNNNNNNNNNNNNNNNNNNNNNNNNNNNNNNNNNNNNNNNNNNNNNNNNNNNNNNNNNNNNNNNNNNNNNNNNNNNNNNNNNNNNNNNNNNNNNNNNNNNNNNNNNNNNNNNNNNNNNNNNNNNNNNNNNNNNNNNNNNNNNNNNNNNNNNNNNNNNNNNNNNNNNNNNNNNNNNNNNNNNNNNNNNNNNNNNNNNNNNNNNNNNNNNNNNNNNNNNNNNNNNNNNNNNNNNNNNNNNNNNNNNNNNNNNNNNNNNNNNNNNNNNNNNNNNNNNNNNNNNNNNNNNNNNNNNNNNNNNNNNNNNNNNNNNNNNNNNNNNNNNNNNNNNNNNNNNNNNNNNNNNNNNNNNNNNNNNNNNNNNNNNNNNNNNNNNNNNNNNNNNNNNNNNNNNNNNNNNNNNNNNNNNNNNNNNNNNNNNNNNNNNNNNNCUUUACUGCAUCUCAAGGUUAGAUUCAUUCAAAUAAACAAUGAAAUGUAUCUAUAUCACUUUAUACAAAUAUCCUGAGAAUAAUAGUCUUAUAAAUGAAGUAUCAAUUUAACUUAUAACAUACUCUAGAUAAUUGCUUGUUAAUCAUCAAAAUAACACUAUCAUCCUCAA
rnacentral:lncRNA from 1 species